GUUCGGUUUUUGGCGUGAACGAUCAUGCUCGUCUUUGGCGUGCAAGUGACUAUUGGAUCCUCUUGGCUACGUUGAGAUGCCCAUUGUGCCCAUGGGAUGGAUCCCAACAAAGAUUUUAAUAAAAUGGUAUACUUAGACCCCCUUGGGUUUUCUCGAGAAAUACUUAGACUGCAAAAUUUCUUUUGAGACGUAUGUCCCAAAAAAAAAUAACAUACAUGAGGGGGGUGGUUGCUUACUUGCUUCAUCCCUUUCGAGGUGUAUAGGUAUGA
rnacentral:lncRNA from 1 species